rnacentral:rRNA from 1 species
AAAAGAUGGUUCUGCUAUCACUCUUGGAUGGACCUGCGGUGCAUUAGCUAGUUGGUAAGGUAACGGCUUACCAAGGCAAUGAUGCAUAGCCGAGUUGAGAGACUGAUCGGCCACAUUGGGACUGAGACACGGCCCAAACUCCUACGGGAGGCAGCAGUAGGGAAUCUUCCACAAUGGACGCAAGUCUGAUGGAGCAACGCCGCGUGAGUGAAGAAGGGUUUCGGCUCGUAAAGCUCUGUUGGUAGUGAAGAAAGAUAGAGGUAGUAACUGGCCUUUAUUUGACGGUAAUUACCUAGAAAGUCACGGCUAACUACGUGCCAGCAGCCGCGGUAAUACGUAGGUGGCAAGCGUUGUCCGGAUUUAUUGGGCGUAGAGCGAGUGCAGGCGGUUCAAUAAGUCUGAUGUGAAAGCCUUCGGCUCAACCGGAGAAUUGCAUCAGAAACUGUUGAACUUGAGUGCAGAAGAGGAGAGUGGAACUCCAUGUGUAGCGGUGGAAUGCGUAGAUAUAUGGAAGAACACCAGUGGCGAAGGCGGCUCUCUGGUCUGCAACUGACGCUGAGGCUCGAAAGCAUGGGUAGCGAACAGGAUUAGAUACCCUGGUAGUCCAUGCCGU